GAUGAACGCUGGCGGCGUGCCUAAUACAUGCAAGUCGAGCGAACAGACGAGGAGCUUGCUCCUCUGACGUUAGCGGCGGACGGGUGAGUAACACGUGGAUAACCUACCUAUAAGACUGGGAUAACUUCGGGAAACCGGAGCUAAUACCGGAUAACAUGUUGAACCGCAUGGUUCAACAGUGAAAGACGGUUUUGCUGUCACUUAUAGAUGGAUCCGCGUCGCAUUAGCUAGUUGGUAAGGUAACGGCUUACCAAGGCAACGAUGCGUAGCCGACCUGAGAGGGUGAUCGGCCACACUGGAACUGAUACACGGUCCAGACUCCUACGGGAGGCAGCAGUAGGGAAUCUUCCGCAAUGGGCGAAAGCCUGACGGAGCAACGCCGCGUGAGUGAAGAAGGUCUUCGGAUCGUAAAACUCUGUUAUUAGGGAAGAACAAAUGUGUAAGUAACUAUGCACGUCUUGACGGUACCUAAUCAGAAAGCCACGGCUAACUACGUG
rnacentral:rRNA from 1 species